UGGGGAAUAUUGCGCAAUGGGCGAAAGCCUGACGCAGCAACGCCGUGUGAGGGAUGAAGGCUUUCGGGUCGUAAACCUCUGUCGGAAGGGAAGAACGGGUGAGGGUCUAAUAGGCCUUCAUUUUGACGGUACCUUUAGAGGCAGCACCGGCUAACUCCGUGCCAGCAGCCGCGGUAAUACGGAGGGUGCAAGCGUUAUUCGGAAUUACUGGGCGUAAAGCGCACGUAGGCCGAGUCGGAAGGCAGGGGUGAAAUCCCACGGCUCAACCGUGGAAAUGCCCUUGAAACUGCAGAGCUUGAAUCCUGGAGAGGGUGGCGGAAUUCCUGGUGUAGGAGUGAAAUCCGUAGAUAUCAGGAGGAACACCGGUGGCGAAGGCGGCCACCUGGACAGGCAUUGACGCUGAGGUGCGAAAGUGUGGGGAGCAAACA
rnacentral:rRNA from 1 species